UCGUCAUAUGCUUGUCAUGAGGACUAAGCCAUGCAUGUCUAAGUAUAAACUCCUUAGUUUAUUCAGUGAAACUGCGAAUGGCUCAUUAAAUCAGUUAUAGUCCAAGUGGUUGUGGUGUUGAUUCUCAUUAAUUGGAUAACCGUGGGAAAUCCAGGGCUAAUACAUGCGAAAAGAGUCGACUGGUGGGAGGGGGUGACUCCUUUCACCUCGGAAGACUUGAAUUUAUUAGAUUAAAAAACCAAUGAGUGGGAGCAAUCCCACUCUUCUCCUGGAGAUGAUUCAUAAUAACUCCAUCGAAUCGAGUGUUUAUCACUCGAUGAUACAUACGAAUUUCUGCCCUAUCAACUUUCGAUGGAAUGGUAGUGGCAUUCCAUGGUAGUAACGGGUAACGGAGAAUCAGGGUUCGAUUCCGGAGAAGGAGCCUGAGAGACGGCUACUACUUCCACGGAAGGCAGCAGGCGCGCAAAUUACCCAAUCCAGAAACUGGGAGGUAGCGAAGUGACCUAUGAAGGGGUGGGUGUCGAUCACUCACCAUCUUCAAAUGAGAACAAUUUAAACCCCUUAUCGAGGAACAAUUG
rnacentral:rRNA from 1 species